rnacentral:ncRNA from 1 species
AGAUAAAAAAUAGCCAAAUGCCUCGUCAUCUAAUUAGUGACGCGCAUGAAUAGAUUAACGAGAUUCCCACU